AACUUUCAGCAAUGGAUCUCUUGGCUCUCGCAUCGAUGAAGAACGCAGCGAAAUGCGGUAAGUAAUGUGAAUUGCAGAAUUCAGUGAAUCAUCGAAUUUUUGAACGCACCUUGCGCUCCCUGGUAUUCCGGGGAGCAGGCCUGUUCGGAUGUCGUGAAAUUCUCAAACUGAGAUGCUUUUUUGUAUCUCGGCUUGGUGUUGGGCUUUGCAGUCUCCUUUGAUUGUGAUGGCUGGCCUCAAAAGCAUUACCUGGCUUUUCAUGUGGCAUUGGUACUAUUCAGCGAGAUAAUGAUCUGACCGCCGAGGACAUCUUUCGAGAUGGCGAAUUGUCAUUUGGGGUGCUUCAAAUCUUGGUCGAGCAGCUGCUGACUCUGUUCCACUUUUCAACUUUUGACCUCGAAUCAGGUGGGACUACCCGCUGAACUUAAGCAUAUCAAUAAGCGGAGGCU
rnacentral:misc_RNA from 1 species